rnacentral:rRNA from 1 species
AAACAACUCUCAGCAACGGAUAUCUUGGCUCUUGCAACGAUGAAGAACGCAGCGAAAUGCGAUACGUAGUGUGAAUUGCAGAAUUCCGCGAAUCAUCGAGUUUUUGAACGCAAGUUGCGCCCGAGGCUUGUCCGAGGGCAUUUCCGCUAGAGCGUCACC